GUACCCGUAGCUCAAUGGAUAGAGUAUCAGGUUGCGGACCUGACGGUUGGAAGUUCGAAUCUUCUCGGGUGCACCA
rnacentral:tRNA from 1 species